rnacentral:misc_RNA from 1 species
UAAUAAGUGUCUUAUGGCACUCUUUAAAUCCAUAUCCACCUUGUGUGCAAUGUCAGUCGAUCUUCUUCAUGGAGAUCGACCAAACAUCAACCUUUAUCUUUUAACUCUUUGUCUGAAAAAUAUUAUGAAUAAACAAUUCAAAAUA